GUAGGUGUUCAUUACACUUGUUAUUUCCUUUUCUUUUGUUACAGCAUUGCCCAGGAUCCCCAGAACAAUGUUAAAUGGCGGCAGCAGCACUGGGCAUCCUUACCGGAUAAUGAAUCGUAAAGAAAAUCCAUCUAAAAUCUCGCUGUUAUAUUUCUCAACUUAAGUUGCUGUGGGAUUGUUGCACAUGAAUGAAGUUUGGAUCCUCUGGGAAGCAGACAUCAAGACAGAAAUAGACAUGCAAGUGAUUUGGCCUGCUGAUAUGAUGGAUUACACUGGUUGAUUUUUGAAUGUUGAACUAGCCUCGCAUCCCUGGGACAAACCCCAUGUGGUCAUGACGUACAUUUGUUCUAAUACAUCACUGGAUUCAUUUUGCUACUGUUUUGUUGAGGAUUUAUGCAUCUAAAUUCAUGAGAGAUGUUGAUGUAUGGCUUUAUUUGUAUGUCCUCUUUGUUAUACGUUGGUGUCAAGGUAAUAGUGACCUCCUAAAAUGAGUUGGGAAGUGUUCCCUCCUCUUCUCUUCACUGGCAGACAUUUUGUGAAAUUGGUGUUAAUUCUUUAAAUGCUGGAGAAAUUCUGUGUUUGAAAACAUCUGGAACCUGGAAGUUCCUUUUUUCUGGAACUUUUAAAUUACAGAUCCUAUUUUUUAGAGGUUUUAGGACUAUUCAUGUAUCUGUUUUAUCUUGCUGGGGUUUGGUAGUUUGUGGUUUUCAAGGAAUUAGCCCAUUUCUUCUAAGUUGUCGAAUUUCUGACAUGUGUGACAAAUUUAUGAUUUAUAAUGUCUGCAGGAUCCUUUGUGGUGCCCUUUCAUUUUGACACUGGUCAUUUGUCUCUUCUCUCUUUUUAUCCUUGUCAGUUGAGCUAAGGGUUUGUCAAUUUUAUUGAUUUUUUUGACAAAUUUUUGUUUCACUAAUCCUCUCAUUUUCAUGUUUUUAUCUUAAGCGAUUUCUGCCCUUUUUAAAAUUUCAUUCUUUCUGCUUGCUUUUUUUGUUGCUGUAUUUUUCCUUUCUCUUCUUUUUCCAGCCUCUUGAGGUUGGAAUUUAGAUUAUUGAUUGAUAUAUUUUCUCUUUUCUAAUGUAAACACCGUAUUAGCUGAACCCCACAAACUUUGAUAUGUUGUAUUUUCAAUUUCAUUUCAAUUUUCAUUCACCUUCAUUCAUUUUUAUUUUUAAGUUGCCUUUGAGACUUCUGCUUUGCCCCAGGGAUUAUUUAGAAGUGUGUUGUUGAAUUUCCAAGAAUUUGGAGAUUGUUCUAUUGUCUUUCACUUACUGAUUUUUUAAAAAAUUUUUAUUAUAUUCAAUUAGCCAACUUACUGAUUUCUAAUUUGAUUGCAUUGUGGUUAGAAAGCAUACUCUGUAUAAUAACAAUUCUUUUAGGUUGGUUAAGGUUUGCUGUGUGACCGAGGAUCUGGCCUUUUUUUUUUUUUUAAAGAUUUUAUUUAUUUAUUUGACAGAGAGAGAGACAGCGAGAGCAGGAACACAAGCAGGGGGAGUGGGAGAGGGAGAAGCGGGCUUCCCGCUGAGCAGGGAGCCCGAUGCGGGGCUCGAUCCCAGGACCCUGGGAUCAUGACCUGAGCCGAAGGCAGACGCCCAACAACUGAGCCACCCAGGCACCCCUGGAUCUGGCCUUUCUUCCCGUUUUUGCUUCGUGUGUUUUGGAACCUUGCGGUGUGCUACACGCAAACUUAGGAUCGCUGGAUCUUGAAAAAUGUAUCACUGACUUCUGGCCUUGAUGGUUUCAGAAGAGAAAUCUGGUGUCACUAAUUUGAUCUUCCAGUACAGGAUGUGAGGUUUGGAGCUGAUGCAACCAUCUUACCCCAAUGAAGAGCGCCAUCCAUGGCUGACAUGCUGGAGAUGGAGGAGUGGAUUGCUGGAAGGCGCCUGAGCCCUUGAUGAGCAUGGAGAGGUGCCAAACCAACCUCAGGAUUGCUUCCUUCCAGACCUCCCCCUAAUGGAACAGUCAAGUAAGCUCCAUGCUCAAUGUGGGACUUGAACUCAUGACCCCAAGAUCAAGAGUUGCCUGCUCUACCUUCUAAGCCAGCCAACCAGGUGCCUGAGAGGAGCAUUCUUUAAAAAAGAAACAUUUGAAGAUGGUCCACUUAACACUUAAACACAAGGGACCCCCAUCGGAGUGAGACAUAGGCCAUCUCCACUUUAGGGCCAUUCUGCCAUCACUUACGCACCCCAGGAGGGAGACAAGCAGCAGAAUUAGGACAACAGAGUCUGACCCUCAGAAUAAAAGAAGUAUCGGCACCUUAUUUAAAAUACAUUGUUGAUUCAUGAAUAUUGCACUCACAGCCAGCAGGACCAACACUCACACCUGAAGGAAGCUUAUCCGACGCACGUGUUUUCUCCACGGGACCAUCACAGCCUUCCUGGGCUUAGGAGCACAAGACAACACGUCAGCAGCAUGCUUGGGGGGAUCUUCAGCAGAGAAAUCACCAGCAAAUGCCCAAGAAUGAGAAAAACAUGGCAGGAAGCAGACCAUGUAGAGGACAUUUGUGUGCAGUGUGAGCCGGAACAAGAAGGCAGAGCGUCACCUGUUUGACCUCAGCUGGGGACGUGCGAGUAGAUGACACAUUUUUUGCGGCUGCACUGAUGUCCAAAAAUGAUGUGAGGGAGCAUUUAAAAGAUUCUGGAAAGUCACAUGCUGGAAAGAAAGAGGUGUUGGUUUUGCAUGACAGCAGGGUUAAAGGUAAUCUUUAUUUUCCACUCUGUGCCCCCUUUUUUGGAUUAUGCAGGUUUCCCAAAAUGAGCAUUUAUGAAACACGUUGAUAUUUUUAUUAUAAAGGUGGGUGCCUUCUUUGCCCUACUUUUACAUUCAAAGAUCACUCAGAAGGUAGAUUUCACUUUCCCAUGGCCCUUGUUUUGGAUCUAACUCCAAUUUCCAGAUAGAGGGCCUUACGUUUUUUUUGAAAUUUGUUUCUUUUCUGAUUUGUCAGUCUGCAAUUAAAGGAACAGGUUUCUGUGUGCUUCCCAUAGUAAGACCUUCAUGGUCCCAGAGUGAGUCAUCACAUUGCUGAAGGGAGCAGACAAAAGGUUAAUCUUUGAGGAAGUAUCCUGACCCUGUGAUUCAGUAGUUGUCUUCACUUGGGUUUUGAAAGUCUGGACUCAGUCAAGGCAACUAAGCUCCAUUAUUUACUAGAGAGGGUGGCGUCCCCUCUUGGUAUUUGCAGGAGACUGAUGACAAUAGCCUCAGCGAAUCACACGUCCUUGUGUCCAGUGGUGCCUUUGUCCCGUUGCCUCUCCCCAUCUGGGUGUGGAGUCUGUUCCUCCACCCCAGGAAUCUCCGUUGGCCGUGUGAUCUGCUCUGAUCAGUAGAGGGUUGCUUCCUCAGCAGUAACAGAAUGCCAAAUCCAGAGCCAAGAGGACUGUAGCUCUUGCUGUCACCCUGGUGGAACCAGGAGACCACGCAGUGUAGCCUGAGUUGGACAGAAGGGAACUAAGGUGCCCCAGCCUGUAGCUAGCAUGUGAGAGUGAGGUCAUCUGGGACCUACCUGCCCAGGUAAACUAGGAAAAACCAGGCGAAGAGCUACCCACCCAGCCACGGAAACAUGAACAAUGAACCACUGCUGCUUUAAGCCGUUAAACUGUUUUGGGAUGCUGUGUUUUACACUAGAUAAUGGAUUCAGUAUUUGAGGAACUAAAAGGAGUGAAUUUUGGCUCUGAAGCAAGGAAGGAAACUAUAGCAGGUCAGGGCUCUGCUAGUUUGAGAGGUAGUGGAGGUAUCCUUCCAUACAAAUUUUUAUUUCCUUAGGGAAUAAGCAAAUAAGCCCUAAGUAACACAUAAAUUAGUACCAGAAGUGGGGUAAAUGUAGACAGUGGGUUCAAGAUGGCCACAAAUUCUUUGAUACUUCUCCAGAAGAGUAUUCUUUGAUAGUCUAUCACCAAGAGUGUGGCAGAUGUGAAGCUACAUCAAAUCCAGGCAUAGCCUUUAAGACCAGUAGACGUUAUCUUACCAUCUUGAAGCCCUGAGCGGCCAUGUAUGUCAGACUCCCCCAAGGCCAUUGAGCUACGAAAAACCCAAACUGAGUGAAGACGUCCCAGAGAGGGAGACACCAUGUGAAAAGAAAGGGCAAGAAAGGCCCACAAGCACGGAGACAUGCUGAGUAGAGAAGGCAUCUGGAAGGAAAUGCCAAGCUUCAGGCACCCUUGUUGACCCUGCAUAGCUCAGAGACUGACUAACCAGUUGAGGUCUUCCAAAAUUCCUGACCGACAACCAUGAGCAAAAUCAAAUGGUUGUUUAAAAACCAAUAGCUGUUUUUUUUAAAUUAUUGCUUAAGAUCAAAUGGUUGGAGGCACCUGGCUGGCUCAGCCAGUAGAGCAUGUCACUCUUGAUCUUGGGGUCAUGAGUUCAAGCCCCACAUUGGGUGGUAGAGUUUACUUUAAAAAUCAAUAAAAUGUUUUAAAAAGUCAAAUGGUUGUUAUAAGCCACUAAGUUUUGGGGUGGCUUGUUAUGUAACGAUAAGUAAGUGGAGAAAGUAACAGACCCUCAAGAAAAGAUGGCAGUGGAUUUGGGGGUAAGACCACGAUGUUCUAUGGGAACAGAGUGGCCAGUGGCACCUAUAGCAAAACCUGCACCCCUGGGAUCAACUCCACGUGGUCAUGAUGUAUAGUCUUUUUAUAUCUAUAGGAUUUGAUCUGCUAAAAUAUGACUUAGAAUAUUUUACAUCUAGUUCCUAGGAGAUAUGGGUCUAUAGUUUUGUUUUCUUGUAAUGCCUCCAUAUUGUUUCAGUAUCAUGGUGAUGCUGGCCUCACAAAUUGAGCUGAGAAUAUUUCCUCCUUUUCAAUUUUAUGUAUAGACAUAGAUGACUAUGUAUAGAAGUGCUGUUA